GACUCAGAGUGAGAGAACCGUCACUGUAUUCACAAACCAAUUAUAUGGUGAAAGAUACUGGGCUGAGGCCCUUAGUAUCAUUUGCUUGUGUGUGCCUUGUGGUGUGGCUUGACUCUAACUCUAUUCUCUAUUGCGUGGUGUGUGUAGCCUCUGGACUAAUGCUUGGUGCCGCACGUGGUGUACUCAAAGGGGCUACCCCGUGACAUCAAAUAUCAUUAUUUCCUCAAACCUGCAAUCAAAUACAUGUCAAAGCUUUUUAAUGGAGUAAAAUGUAUGACUUCAGCUUAAAAGACCAUCAUCUCUGUGUCAGUGAUUGAUAAGGAGAGGUUAGCAAUGGUGGGUUUCGUACCUUCAAGAAGAUCAUGCUUAGGAAGACAAACGUGAGGGGGAAGAGCGACAGAGAACCCAUGAAGUUCACAAAAUCUCCCAAGAAAGGAAUCAGGGCAGCCACAAAUGUGUUCAGAGUGAACAAGCCGGCACGCAAUAAGAAGAGGAUCUUGAUGUUAUCUCUUGAAUGCAUACUUCGACCUAAGUGUAAGAAUCUUGUAUCAAGAGCCUCAUGUACUGGUGUACAAAACAUCUGAUAAAAAUUCGUUGGAAAGCAGUGUUAAAAUGACCAUUGAAGCUAAUAGAUUAAGUACAAGUGUGUGUGCGUUUGAGAGAGAGAGCGAGAGACUCACAUGUUGUGAUAUGAUUGUUUGCAAGAAGACAGUAGUAUUCCCAAUUACAACAGCCCACUUGGGUCCA